ensembl:snRNA U2 U2 spliceosomal RNA
GUCGCUUCUCGGCCUUUUGGCUAAGAUCGAGUGUAGUGUCUGUUCUUCUCACUUUAAUAUCCGAUACAUCCUCUAUCUAAGACAAUAUAUUAAAUGGAUUUUUGGAACUAGGAGUUGGCAUAGGAGCUUGCUCUGUCCACUCCACGCAUCAACCUGGUAUUGAAGUACCUCCAGGAAUGCUACACCCCGU